UCACUCUGGCUUCUCUUCAAAGAUAUGAUUCUUUCGCCUUUUACUAAAGAAUUCCGUGGAGACGAGCAGUUCAAUUGUCUUGAACAUUUUUCGAUAUCC
rnacentral:snRNA from 1 species